AUAUAUAUAUAUAUAUAUUUUUAUCAAAUUUGAACAAUGUGUGUUUGUAGAUUCGUGAAAAAGACGCUGGUGUUGGCAAUUGUUGUAGUCAUUUUAGCAAUAGUGGCAAUAGUUUUAUUAAUUUUGCAUUUCGUAAGUAAUUCUGGCACGAAUAGUCCAUUAUCGAUUACGAUUUAUUCAUAUGAAGUUUUAAACACGUAUGAUCACAAUCAUGUUAUGGAUCAAGAAGGAUAUCCAAAUGUUGGAUUUGGUGAUUUAUAUAAAAACGUAUUAUUAGACCAUCCCUUUACUCAAGGGUUAUUAUUUUUAAACCAUGAACAAUUAUUAGAGUCUUCUGGUUUAUAUGGAAGUAGUUAUAUACGAAAAUUCAAUUUAAAAGAUGGUAAGACUACAAAACAUAUGAACCUACCUAAGGCAUAUUUCGCAGAAGGUACAGCAUUAAUAAUUGACCCAAAAACGUACAGAAAACUUAUAUUAGUAUUAACAUAUAAAGAAAAAUCAUUACUUGCUUAUGAUUAUAAUACUUUAGAAUUAGUAAAAACUCUUUCAUAUGAAUUUAAUGGUUAUGGUUUAACAUCUAAUGUAGACAAUGAAAUAUCAGAAGAUUAUUUAAAAAAUAGUAAUUUCCCAAAGCAUCAAAAAUUAUGGAGUACGAGUGGUGAUGAGUUUUUAUAUGAACUCGAAAUACCUGAAAGUAUUAUGGAUGCAGAAACAAUAAAAAUUAAAAACAAAUUAAAACUAACUUGUGCAGGAUAUAUAAUUAAACAAGCUAACGAAUUAGAAUAUCAUCAUCGCACACAAACAAUUUUUGUUAAUGUAUUUUUAACGGAUUUAAUAAUCGAGUUUAAUGCAACCAAAGGAGAAUGUGUUAAAAUAAUAAAUUUGUAUGGUUUAGCGAAGAAAAAUACUAACUACGAAAAACAUCUUAAAACAGCAGAUGCCGUUUUAAAUGGUAUAGCAAUUAAACCUGAACACUCUUCACAAACAGUACCCAACUUAUUCGUGACAGGUAAAUAUUGGUCUAACCUCUUUGAAAUUAAAUUAGUGAAAUCUGCUGAUGCAUUGUCUGCAGCAAAAAUAUUACGUCCAUAUUUAACUACUUUUGGUAGUGGGAACAAAUAAUCUGAUUGUUACAUUUUUUUUUUUUUUAUGUUACAUUAUGAUGUGAUAUAUACAUGGUAUAUUUUUUGUAUAUGAGUAUGUACAUAUGUAUAUACAUUUUGUUUUAAUAUUGUUUUAUUAUUUUAUCUUUUUUUUUUUUGCUUUUUUUUUUUGCUCUUUUUUGCCUUUUUUUGCUUUUUUUUUUUGCUCUUUUUUGCCUUUUUUUGCUUUUUUUUUGUUGUGAUUAUACAUUCUUGCUUUAUGAAAACAUUUUUGCUUUAUAUUGAUUUAUAUAUAUGGAUUUAAAUUUAAAUUUAUAUAUAUAUAUAUAUAUAUAUAUAUAUAUAUAUAUAUGCUAUUUAUGAUUGAUUAUAAUUAAUUAAAAUAUUUUUAAAGCUGUUAAUGUAUUAAAAACGUAUGAAAGUUGCAUGCGUUAUUUUUUCAUUAGUUUUAAGUUUUUAAUUUUUAUUAUGUUUUAUUCAUUUUUUAUUUAUUAUAUUUUUUUUUACGUCUUUUAAAUUUAAUAAAACAUUAAUGUGUUUUAAAUAUAUUUUUUUU
rnacentral:lncRNA from 1 species